rnacentral:rRNA from 1 species
UACGUAGGGGGCAAGCGUUGUCCGGAAUUAUUGGGCGUAAAGAGCGCGUAGGCGGUCCGAUAAGUCGGCUGUGAAAGUCCAGGGCUCAACCCUGGAAAGCCGGCCGAUACUGUCGGACUAGAGUCCGGAAGAGGCGAGUGGAAUUCCCGGUGUAGCGGUGAAAUGCGCAGAUAUCAGGAAGAACACCCGUGGCGAAGGCGGCUCUCUGGAACGCAACUGACGCUGAGACGCGAAAGCGUGGGGAGCAAACAGG